rnacentral:rRNA from 1 species
CCUACGGGAGACAGCAGUAGGGAAUCUUUCACAAUGGGCGAAAGCCUGAUGGAGCAACGCCGCGUGCAGGAUGAAGGCCUUCGGGUUGUAAACUGCUUUUAUAAGCGAGAAAUAUGAUGGUAACUUAUGAAUAAGGAUCGGCUAACUACGUGCCAGCAGCCGCGGUCAUACGUAGGAUCCGAGCAUUAUCCGGAGUGACUGGGUGUAAAGAGUUGCGUAGGUGGCAUAAUAAGUAGCUAGUGAAAUCUGGUGGCUCAACCAUUCAGACUAUUAGCGAAACUGUUAAGCUCGAGACCGUGAGGGGUAACUGGAAUUUCUAGUGUAGGAGUGAAAUCCGUAGAUAUUAGAAGGAACACCAAUAGCGUAGGCAGGUUGCUGGGACGGUUCUGACACUAAGGCACGAAAGCGUAGGGAGCAAACGGGAUUAGAUACCCCUGUAGUC